GCGCCCAAAAGAACCAUCGAUGAGGCUUGGGAACACACCGCUGCGAUGAGAGCAAUUGGGUGCA
rnacentral:tRNA from 1 species